GGCCGUUCGCCUGGCUGGCUGACCGCUCCCUCGCGAGCUGCUCACGAGUCACGAGUCACGACUCGUCGGUCUCGCCUAGGGUUUUAGGCCUUGGGGGCGGGCUGCGGGCUGGCGGCGACCGGGCAGCAGGUUCCGGGCAGCGCUGCUACGAGCUGCUACUGCUAGGUGCUAGCGGCUGGAGGCGCGCGCACAUCGCCCAGGACCGGUAGCACGCGGGGGCGGGCGGCGGCCGCCGUCACUCCGUCAGGACUGAGCGGCGUCUCUGCGGUCUGCAGAGGGCGCCGCCGCACGGAGGCUGGAGGCGGAGCGCGUGCCGCGGCCUGCGAUCUGCGACUGCAAGUCGUCCUGCCUGUUCCUGUCCUCUCCUUGUUCAUUCGUUCCCCACCUCGCCGCGCGCCGCCCCGCUAGGGUUUCCUCCCCUGCCCGUUCCAGCCAUCACCAUGCCUAGCCACAGCUCAGGAAGGUCAGCAUCGCGCCCUGCUCGGCGUGCUGCUCUGAUGAGGAAUCCACCGCAGCCAGGUUUCUUGGGGUGGCUGGGGGAAGGAAUGCUGGUGGCGACAUGCUAAGCCGCGGAGCUGUGCGUUCGCUGUUGGAUCGUCUCCGGUUGCCGCCUCGGGGGUGGAAGCAGAACCCUAGCCCCGCCAUGCCGACGGUUGUCAACCGCGCCUGCCUCUGCUGGUUCAGCCAUUCCACUGCGCACGGCGAGGGUCGCGCUGUGCUGCCGGGGAAGAUGGGGUUCCUUCAUCUGGCUGGCGGGCGGAGUUUGGCGCCAACCGGCGCGCUCACCUUGAAGGGGUGCCUAGGGUGGCAGGACAGCGGCGGCGGCAGCGGGUUCAGGAGGAGGGUCGAUGGGGAGGCGGCGGGGAUCAAGGCACAGGUGCUCACCAGGCAACGCCAGCUGAUGCGCGAUCCGGAGGUCCUGCCGCUGGAGGAGGCCGCCGCCACCGCGAAGACCCUGAACGGGAAUGGCGCGUGCCGGCGAGGGAAGCCGCUGGGGUUCCCUGAGCAAGGCUGUGGCGGCUAAGAUGGUGGUUGCUGUUGAUGUGGAUGAAGUUCUUGGAAGCUUUCUUGCAGCACUGAACAAAUUUAUUGCUGAUCGUUAUUCUUGGAAUCACACUGUAUCCGAAUACCAUGUGUAUGAGUUCUUUAGGAUAUGGAACUGUUCUCGUGAAAGAGCUAAUUAUCUUGUCCACGAGUUUUUCACAACCCAUUAUUUCCAAGAUGGUAUACAGCCUAUCCCCGGUGCUCGAGACGCUCUCCAAAAUCUUUCUUCAUUCUGUAGCUUGUCUAUAGUAACAUCUCGGCAGGAUGCAAUUAAGAAUCACACAUUAGAGUGGAUCGAGAAGUAUUAUCCAGGCUUAUUUGAGCAGAUCCAUUUCGGGAACCAUUUCGCUUUGGAGGGCAAGUCAAGACCAAAAUCAGAGAUUUGCAGAUCUUUUGGCGCUCAGGUUUUAAUAGAUGACAACCCAAGAUAUGCUAUGGAGUGCGCUAAUUAUGGCAUGAGGGUGCUGCUCUUCGAUUACGAUAGCUCAUACCCUUGGUGCAAGACUGGAGUUGAUGAGUCGCAUCCACUGGUGACCAAGGUCCACAACUGGGAAGAAGUGGAGGAGAAACUUCUUUCUUGGGUAGUACCUGAGAGCUGACAUUCUUCUCCAGUGUGAGAAGAAUUGCUUAAGACCAGCAAGUGCUUCCUAUUUCUUGAUUUAUGAAGAAAAGUGUUAGGGGGUGAAUAAAAAUUUAUUUUUGAUACACAAAGCUGUCAGCGCAGGCAAGGGCAUUUCAUAUCUUUGCUAAGGGACUGGCGAGUGAACGUUGUUUCAUUGCCACAUGCUGGUCGAGGCAAACCAGUUUUAACAUUGUCCUAGGUCCAAUCAAGGUAUAGACGCAUCUAUUGGCAGAGAUCAGAUUUGUUCUUUUUCAUCCAUCCACCUUAAGGUGGGUGUAGUGUGUAUAUAUUGACAUUGCCAUAUGGUAAGAUGAAUUUAGAUGCUAAUAAUGGAUCAUCCACAGAUGAAUGCAUCGAAGGUAGUAGGCAUAAGGUCAA